rnacentral:lncRNA from 1 species
UCGGUUUUGUAGGCCAGGAGGGUCUGGGCCCCAGCCAUCUUGGCGGCGGUGGGGUUGAUGGCCCACGCCACCCAGCCUUCAGAUUUGGACGGCGUCGCCACGAAGGCGAUGGAGAGAGAGGAAUUGGAGGCAUUGUAGGUCCAGUGGAGGUAGGAGCUGAGGAAGGGGAGGUCGCUGCAGUUGGGGUAGAGCUUGUUGUUCUUGAAUGUCUGUGAGCUGCAGGUGGCUGCCUGUGCUGGUGAUAUUACCAGAGCCAGGAGGGAGAUCCAUGAGACUGAGACAAGAAGAAGAAGAUGAAGAGAGGAAGCCAUUAUUGGAGAAUAUGGAGAGAGAGAUUGGCUGUGAAUUGAAAAAGGGAGAGAGAUGUUCUGCUGAAUGUAAAGGUUGUGGGAGAAUUUAUAUUGAAAAUAAAUUGUUAGAUGUAUUCGAUAUAUCACGUGAUAUGCUGAUAUUGCGGAUGUACAGGAUAAUUUCUCUACAUAUUGGUUUUGAUUGUAUGGUUUCGUUGUAAUCGGUUGCAUACAAUUAUUUUUUUAUACGUAAAUAAACCAAUAGUAGUUGUAUGCAACCCAUUUUUUCAUAUGCAACUGCUCAUUUUAUAUCACAGUCAAUCAGUACAGUUGUAUACAACGAGUGAUGAAAAAAAUGGAGAAAAAUAAGUCACACACACUAAAUGAGAAAUAAAAAAUUAAGAAAGUAUAAGUUAAGGAACUAUUUCGAUAAAAAAAAUUCUUAUAUUGUAUUAUUUGUUUAAAGUCAAUGAAAAAAAAACAACAACGUGUUCAUAAGAUUAGGAUUACUCAUACAUACGACCUUAUUCAAUCAUGUGCAAUGUUCUAAAACGAAAAGUAUAUUAUUUUUGUAGUACAAAUAUAUGCGUACGUAAAUCGAACACCUACAGCUACAAAAACAAAACCAGUAGAAGAAGACGAACCUUGAUGCCCUUGAGGUUGUUCUUGUUCCAUUACGUAGGGUUCAUAAUAAAAGAUUAGUUCUUUCUUUUCCGGUAGAUAGGGUACAACUCUGCCUCGUGCAAAUUGCAAAUGAAUUAUAUAUUUUUGAUGAUGACAUUGACAGCCCAGAAGGAACAAAGAAAACACAGAAAAAAUUUGGCUCGUUAAAAUUGAGGAGGAGAUCCUCUUACAACUAAUGUGAUUUUGACGAGUGUUAAAUUAUUUUAAUAUUCUUUUUUUUUUUUGUUGAAAUUUUGUCAAUGUUGCCAAAUUUUGACAAAUGUCAAAACUCCAUUAGUUUUAAAAAGAAACUCCUCCUCAAUUUUAAAGAGUAAUGUCUUGCUCCACAAAAAUUUGUGUUUGAAACUGUCCUUCUACCUGCCCUUGUGGUUAAGUGCGCAUGCACUAAUUCCUAGUAGUCUUGGGUUCGAAGGUUGGUACCACAUUCUCUACAAUAUUAGGGGUCGUUUGGCAUAGCGGACUGUCAUGGACUGGACUAAAUCAUGUGACUGUCUCAUAUUAGCUUGGAUUGGCCUAAGCUGGAUUAAGUACUGACCUACAUUUAGUGCUGCGUCGGACUAAGAAGCUAGAUUGUAAAAAUAGUGAAGACCUUGGCGAUGUGUCGGACUAAAAAAUAAUUCUUAUAAUAUUUAAAUUUAAUUGGGGGUUUUGACCUAAAAGAUAAAUAAAUGCUAUAAAGAAACCCAAUUCAAAGAUUUAUAACAAUAUCUGGUAAAAAAAAGAAGAAAGAAUUAAAACAAUAAUAAAAAGAAAACAAAUAAUUUUUUUUUUUAUGAAGAAUAAAAUUAUGAUAUUUAUUUUUUGACUUCUCAAGAUUAAUCUUAAGUUUUUCGGGGACCAAGUAAAAUAAUAAUUAAUUUUAUAUAUUUAUGUAUAUGUAUAAUUUUUGUAUAUUUGACUUUUGACUUUAAACUGAAAAAUAUAAUUUAACAAGGUAAAAAUUGCUUGUGAUAAAGAAAGCAUCACAUCAUGAAUUAUUAAACUUGUUUGAAUAUUAAAAAAAAUCAAACAUUUGUAAAUUACUAUAGUUCGAUUUUCCAAAUGCAAUUUUAAAAUAAUUAUUGUAAUAUUUAAAUUUAAUUAAGGAUUUUAAUCUUUAAAAAAAAUAAAUGCUGCAAAAAAAAAAACCAUUCAAAGAUCUAAAACAAUAAUUAAAAGAAAACAAAUAAAAUUAUGAUAUUUUUUAAAGAGAGGCGUCAGACUCAUGUGUUUUAUUUAGCGAACCACUUUUCAGGCUCACUAUAUUAGAUGAGAGAGUAAGACUUGUUUUUCAAUAUUGGCCUAUACAGUCUCAUUUAAGUUAGUCAUGUCUCUUACUAAACAAGGAUUUCGAGUGCUAUUUAACCCAAUCCAAUGCAAUGAGGCAUACCAAACAUGAUCUUGGUGUUUAAAACCAAACCCGUAAAAAACGCGAAAAAAAAUUUGUCGUUUUUGUGCUUUCCAAUUAUUUAUGCAAGAAGCCUUCUUUUAACUAUAAGAUAAAUGAGGUGGGGUACGUGGAGGACACAAAAGCGAAGGCGGUGGGACUAGUGGAAGACUCCGGACCCAAAACCCCUGCUUAAUUAAUUGACAAGUAUUAAUAAAUUAUUUUGUUAGCAUGAGUCGUCCACACGUUUAUAGUCGGCUAGAAUUUAACUAUUGAUACUAAGCAUCCACACUUCUCAAAGGUAAAAAAUCCCAAAGUCUGUAUCGUUCAUGCAUAGUGUUAAUUUGACUGUCAUGUGAAUAUUAUGCGAAUGGAAAGAUCACUGGUUUUUGAAAUACCAUAAAGAUCGAAAUAUUUACAUGGCAAUCAUUUCCCUUUAACGUUCCCUUUCUAAUCUAAUUGACCUUUUUGGUUUGUCAAUAAUCACUAUCUUUAUUUUUAUUUUAUUUUUAAAAAUCAAGGUACAAUGAGGCCCCAAAAUUACUCAAGUAACAAUGUUAAAAAAUGGACGGACGAAGGUUAGGUGAAUUGGUAAAGUAUUCUACCUGCGUCUAGCACUUGAGUUUAAUUCCCCUCUUGGUACAUUAUAAUAAUUUAAAAUUUUGCUUUAUAAUUAAAAACAAAAUGUCAAAUAUUAAAAGAAAGAAAAAAGAGACCAACGUGAAAAUAAAGGAAAAUAUUAAACUAAAUUAAAUGGUACAAGCAUUUCCUCUCAUCAAGAUCCACCCUAUUAAUUAAUGACCAACUAGAGCCAUCUCUUUUUCUCUCAUCGAUCCAAGAUGCAGAUGAGGAGGAGAGAUAAUUUAAAUCAAUGGGGAAAUCAUAAAUAUCAUGGAAUAUAUAAUAAAUAUUUCCACCUAAAAGUGUUGACAUCUCCAUCUCCCACUUGGACUCAUCAAUAAGAAAAAAAAUUUAUAAAUUAAAAAAAAAAACUAAAUUUAGAGAGCAAUGAGAGCUCCAAGAACCAAAAGCGAAACAGAGAACAAUCCCAUGUUUCCUCCACUCCCAAUCCUCAAGGCUCCGCUACCACCACCACCAGUGCUAUUGGUAGUGGUAUUAGUACCAGCGGGAGUGCCCGUAGUGGAAUUUGUGGUAGUAGUGGAAUUGGCCCCCAAGGACAAGGUGCCAAACGACUUGAGAUUGGGUGGGGCGACGUCAUGCUUCUCGGGGAAACCGGAGGUCUUGUUGACGGCGGAGCCCACCUGCCAGACCUGGUUCACUGAUGCCGCGUCCUUCGGGACCUUGACGGUGGCGAAGAUCGUGAAGGUGUCGUUGGAAAACUCCGCGCUGACGUCCCAGACUUCGAACGAGAGUUUUCCCGGCACGAUGGAGCUGUACGAGGAGAUGUUCAAUGUGUUGACGGCUGGUGCCCCGUUCUCGGUCUUGUAGGCUAAGAGGGUCUGGGCCCCAGCCAUCUUGGUCUCGGUGGGGUUGAUGGCCCACGCGACCCAGCCGUCAGAUUUGGCCGGCUUCGCCACGAAGGCGACGGAGAGAGAGGAGUUGGAGGCAUUGUAGGUCCAGUGGAGGUAGGAGCUGAGGAAGGGGAGGUCGCUGCAGUGGGCGUAGAGCUUGUUUUUCUUGAAUGUCUGUGAGGUGCAGGUGGCUGCUUGCGCGGGUGAGAUUAGCAGAGCCAGGAGGGAGAUCCACGAGACUGAGACAAGAAGAACGGGAUGAAGAGAGGAAGCCAUUAUUGGAGAAUAUGGAGAGAGAGAG